UAGUAUUAGUCCAUCUAUAUACAUUACACAAUUAUAUGUAUAAAUAUAUGAUCUAAAUAUGCGAGGUGAUAUCAUGGUUUUCAAUACUACUUUAGAGUUUUAAAUCAAAGAUCAUAUAACCGAAACCACUUAAUACCCAAGUACGAAAACAAAGUAUAGAGUUUCACGUGGUUGCUCAAAAAAAAAAAAAAGUUUUGCGUGUGACAAAAGUUUAGAUAAACAAGAAUUAUAUUUUUGAAUUUAUUGAACUAUAGUCAUGAGAUGAGAUUUGGAGACAGAUGUGAAAAAAACGAUAUGUCAAUAUGGAUAUCAUGUAUACACGCAAAAUGAAUAACAUAUGUUAUGUGUACAUCUAUAUACUUUCAUAUGGAUUUUGUUAAGUUAGGAGAAAAGUAAACCAAACUGAGAUAUGAUGAAGAGAGGUGACAAAAGAGGGUCCCUAGUGCAUGUAGUUGACUUUGGUAAUAUGUCUCAUUCAUUUUUGAUAAAAGGGAAUUUUAACAUUUAUAUAAUAAAAUUAAUAAAUAAUAUUUAUAUAUAUUAAAGGUAUACAUAGCUUUUGAUUAUGUUUCCAAAUUGAAUAACAACUUCCAUCACUAUGUCUCCACUCCCUUACUUCUAUAUAACUCAUCUCAUUUGUCUCUAUAACAUCCCACACUUUGUCUUCAAAAUCUCAAGUAGUUUAAGAACAAAGACAUCAAAUAUGAGCUCCCAUGCAAAGAGGUUAGUAAUUUUCAUUGCUCUUAUUUUGGCUAUCACCUCCACUGAUGUUUCAGACGCUACCCUUCGUCAUAUCAUGAAUCUCAGAUCAAAUAAGGGUAUUAAGGAGGGUAAUGAAAUAAAGGAGAGGGAACUUGUGGAGUUUCACCUUGACUACGCAAGAACUGGAGCCAAUCAAGAUCACGAGCCAGGGAAAGGAAGACCUUAAUCCAACUUAGUUAUUCAUAGCUAAAAUAAGGAGCUUCAUUAACUCUACUCUUCUUUCACAAAGUAUCUAUAUAUACAUAAUAUGAUGUAAUAUAAUAGGCCAAGCUUUUGGGCAAGGUUAAAGUUGCAUGUAAGAAACACAUGUGCAUCAGUGUAUGCAUGCAUGCAUAUGAAUCUAAGUUUUACUGUAUGUGAUAUUAUUUUAAGUGCAAAUGAAAGUACUAUAAAUUUGGGAUGAAA